CGUGAGCGGCGGACGGGUGAGUAACGCGUGGGUAACCUGCCUCAUACAGGGGAGUAACAGUUGGAAACGGACUGCUAAUACCGCAUAAGCGCACAGUACCGCAUGGUACGGUGUGAAAAACUCCGGUGGUAUGAGAUGGACCCGCGUCUGAUUAGGUAGUUGGUGGGUAACGGCCUACCAAGCCGACGAUCAGUAGCCGACUGAGAGGGUGACCGGCCACAUUGGGACUGAGACACGGCCCAA
rnacentral:rRNA from 1 species